rnacentral:rRNA from 1 species
ACGUUCGGAUUGCAGGCUGCAACCCGCCUGCAUGAAGCCGGAAUCGCUAGUAAUCGCGGAUCAGAAUGCCGCGGUGAAUACGUUCCCGGGUCUUGUACACACCGCCCGUCACACCAUGGGAGUCGGGAAUGCCCGAAGUCAGUGGCCCAACCGGAAGGGGGGAGCUGCCGAAGGCAGGCCCGGUGACUGGGGUGAAGUCGUAACAAGGUAAC